UCAACCGUGUUUUUUGCGCUUUCUGCAAAACUGUCACACACAUGCAGCUUCGCAAGUAUAACCUGCACUCAGUACACCAUCUUCAGUUCUCUGUGUGGCUGAAGAGCACUCGAUCGGUCCGAGCGAGCUUAGCAGGCGGCUCCAGAGAUUCCUCACCGAGGGCGGCUCCAUCAGCAGGCAAAGCUAAUUCCUGACAUUCAUCAUCACUCUCCUCGUCCUCCUCAUCUUCCUCUUCUGAUAAAUACACAGAGGAAUGGUUACAAUCACAGAUGUGACACAGAAGGAGUGUUUGACAGAUGAUGGUUGGCUCACCUGUAGAAACUCCAUCUGAGCAGAAAGAGUUUAGCAGCUUUGGGGAAGGCAGGGCUGGCCUGGUAGGGCUUUAGGACCUGGGAGACAACACCGUCCAGCCA